AUGUUCCGGAAGUAUCGCUUUCUUCACCUCAACAUUCACCCUGAUGUUGUUCAUACCAUUGAGGAUGCCCUGCACUUGUUUUCUGCACCAGAAACUCGAAAGAGAUCUGUCGUUGUUCAACCAUAUCGCCAACAUAACCUGCUACUUACCCAAACCUCCAUUCGCCAGCUUUCGAUCAUCAUCAUUGUACUCCCUCUUUACAACUCUGCUCGCCCUCUAAUCUUCUUCAACCUGCCGCAAUUUCUCUUCUCCGUGAUAACCAGACAAUGA